rnacentral:rRNA from 1 species
UGGGGAAUUUUGGACAAUGGGCGCAAGCCUGAUCCAGCCAUGCCGCGUGCGGGAAGAAGGCCUUCGGGUUGUAAACCGCUUUUGUCAGGGAAGAAAUCUUCUGAGUUAACACCUCGGGAGGAUGACGGUACCUGAAGAAUAAGCACCGGCUAACUACGUGCCAGCAGCCGCGGUAAUACGUAGGGUGCAAGCGUUAAUCGGAAUUACUGGGCGUAAAGCGUGCGCAGGCGGUUUUGUAAGACAGAGGUGAAAUCCCCGGGCUCAACCUGGGAACUGCCUUUGUGACUGCAAGGCUUGAGUGCGGCAGAGGGGGAUGGAAUUCCGCGUGUAGCAGUGAAAUGCGUAGAUAUGCGGAGGAACACCGAUGGCGAAGGCAAUCCCCUGGGCCUGCACUGACGCUCAUGCACGAAAGCGUGGGGAGCAAACAGGAUUAGAUACCCUGGUAGUCCACGCCCUAAACGAUGUCAACUGGUUGUUGGGAAGGUUCCUUCUCAGUAACGUAGCUAACGCGUGAAGUUGACCGCCUGGGGAGUACGGCCGCAAGGUU